rnacentral:rRNA from 1 species
AUUGAACGCUGGCGGCAUGCCUUACACAUGCAAGUCGAACGGUAACAGGUCUUCGGAUGCUGACGAGUGGCGAACGGGUGAGUAACACAUCGGAACGUGCCUAGUAGUGGGGGAUAACUACUCGAAAGAGUGGCUAAUACCGCAUGAGAUCUACGGAUGAAAGCAGUGGAUCGCAAGAACUUGUGCUACUAGAGCGGCCGAUGGCAGAUUAGGGAGUUGGUGGGAUAAAAGCUUACCAAGCCGACGAUCUGUAGCUGGUCUGAGAGGACGAUCAGCCAAACUGGGACUGAGAAACGGCCCAGACUCCUACGGGAGGCAGCAGUGGGGAAUUUUGGACAAUGGGCGCAAGCCUGAUCCAGCAAUGCCGCGUGCAGGAUGAAGGCCUUCGGGUUGUAAACUGCUUUUGUACGGAACGAAAAGCCCCGGGUUAAUACCCUGGGGUCAUGACGGUACCGUAAGAAUAAGCACCGGCUAACUACGUGCCAGCAGCCGCAGUAA